rnacentral:rRNA from 1 species
GUCCACGCCGUAAACGAUGGGUACUAGGUGUUGGGGGUAUUUACCCCUCCAGUGCCGCAGUUAACGCACUAAGUACCCCGCCUGGGAAGUACGGCCGCAAGGCUAAAAACUCAAAGGAAUUGACGGGGGCCCGCACAAGCGGUGGAGCAUGUGGUUCAAUUCGACGCAACGCGAAGAACCUUACCUGGGCUUGACAUCCCGGGAACCCCCUGGAAACAGGGGGUGCCCGCAAGGGAGCCUGGAGACAGGUGCUGCAUUGCUGUCGU